GCAGAAAUGGCAUUAAAUGAAAGAGGACAUGAAGGGGAUUUCCUCAUUCGUGAUAGUGAAUCUUCGGCCACUCCCUGCUGAUGCAAUAUCUGGGUUUGGGCAGAAAGGAGGGUGCUUCGGAGCCCGCCCUUUCUGAGCUUCCUGGGCUCAGAACAAUUCAGGCUUCGCUGCGACUCAGACCUCAGCUCCAACAUAUGCAUUCUGAAGAAAGAUGGCUGAGAUGGACAGAAUGCUUUAUUUUGGAAAGAAACAAUGUUCUAGGUCAAACUGAGUCUACCAAAUACAGACUUUCACAAUGGUUCUAGAAGAAAUCUGGACAAGUCUUUUCAUGUGGUUUUUCUACGCAUUGAUUCCAUGUUUGCUCACAGCCAUCCUUACCCGACCUGGGAUGGAGAUCACCAAAGAUGGCUUCCACCUGGUUA
rnacentral:sRNA from 1 species